UAUAAAUGUUAAUUUUAAGACCAGGGUAGUAAUAGUUAAGUUCUUGAAACCCAAAGAAUUUGGCGGUACAUUAGUCUUUUCAGAGGAAUCUGCCCCUUAAUUGACACUCCACGAGAAAUUUUACUUGUUUUUGUUUUCAGCUUGUAUAUCUCCGUCAUAAAAGAAUCUUUUUAGAGAUUAAUUUUUUAUAUACUUUAAAGGUCACAUGUCAGGUCAAGGUGCAGUUUAUGAAUAAGUGGAGGUGGAUUACAAUAAAUAUAUUUAUUACGGAUUAAAAUGUUUAAAACUUUAUGAAGGAGGAUUUGAUAGUAAUUUUGUUUAUUUAUCAUUAUGAUUUUAGCUCUAAUUUAUGC
rnacentral:rRNA from 1 species